CCUGUUCACCCUGCCCAUUUGACUAGAAAGCUGCAGGAAGCUGUCCUGAGCACAGUCUGUCUUAGCUGUCUGCUGCCAUCCUGCCUUGGUUCCUUGCUCUAGCUAGCUGUCCCCAGUGUCAUCCGGCUCAUGCCAGCCGAGGAGGAGGAGCUUAUCUGGCUUUGAUAGAGAUCAGAACCUCUCAGAAGGCUUCCAGAAACCGUGCUCUGAACAGAUGCAUUUGAUGGACUAAGGGACCUGCAAAACCUGCCUUGGCUGAUGUUGUUGGGACAACAUUUACAUGAGGUUCCGGUGGAUUUGAUCAAAGCCUCCUCCCUCUACUGCAAUAUUGUCCAGGAGCACUGCAAACCAGGAGCCGACUUGGAAGAUGCAUGGAGAAACAAGGGUAGCAUUCACGCAGCCACAAGAAUCAGACCAGCACAGAAUGGUCAGGUUUCAGCAUCACCAUUUGGAUUCACAGAUGCCAGUGCCUACACAAGGACACGGGUGAGAAGGAGGGGCCCCUUGCAGCAGCACUGAGAAUUUAUAUCAGAUACAAAGAGCAGUGACCUGAGACAUCAGCAUUAAUCAGUUCUCCGGUCCUUCUCCACCUCACAUCCAGCCCAACCCCAACUGCAUCUCUAUCUGCACAAUGGACUAGAGGUGAGAGACCUGGAGAGUAUGAGUCCUGCAUACAAACAGGUAGGUGGGUUUCAUCCCUUAAGUUCUCUGUACUGGCCACGGCAAGAAAGUUAUGUUCAAGAGAAAGAGGUUUUGCCUACCUGUCUCCCAGGCACUAAAGAAUUUCCUUUUUCCUGCCUGCACAACAGAUUUCCCCAACAGCCACUUUGCUGCGUAGAGCAGAGCGCUCUCUACAUGUUUCGAGUGCUCUGUACUCUGUGUGGGUGCAGAUCUGUCCCCUGAACCCUGGCACUACUCUCUCUUACUGCUGCUGUGGGAAGGACCUGCCAGACUGAGAGAGCAGCAGGUGGGUACAAGAGGCACGUUUUCUUUUUUAUUUUUUACAUUGCUGUGAUACAGCAGGCAGAGGAUACUCGCUUGAGAGAACCCCUUAUGUAAGAGAUUUUAUCUGUCAGUGUGCAUUGCCUAAUGCCAUCCCCAGAUAGAAGCCCCGCAGAGUGCUUUGCAUGAAAAAGGCAGCAUGGCCAGACUCAUCUCCACUUCCAGCAAUCUAGGUCAUUGAGGGACACAUCAUUUAGAGCACGAGGAAGCAGUAAGCAAGAAGAAAUGCAAAGCCUUCUCUGUUCUAG
rnacentral:lncRNA from 1 species